CAUACAGCUUCUGCAGUUGGACUUCCUUUAGAAAUUGCUCUCUAUUUCCUUUAACACUGUGUAGGAAGGAGCACAGUGCUCGACAGAACUCCUAGACUAACCAUCCAGCACCUUGAGUUUGACAGCUCUCAGGACAAGAAAAACACAAAUAGUCUCUCUGACUUGCCGCACUGCAGAUCUACCUGACAUGGCUGAGGAAGCAAGCAUGAGCAUGAGAAUCUCUCUUUGGAGAGAUUUUAGCACUCUGAGCUGACAAAGCCCAAUAUGCUGGAUGAUGCUGAUCUGCUUGAAGCCAUUCCCCCUUGUCCUGUCACUGCAUGUUCUACUUUCAGCAGAGCUACCAACAAAGUUACAUCAGGUUGCUCAGGACAUUGUCCAGGCAAGUGCUGAAUGCUUUGAAGGAUGAAGACUCCACAGUCUACCUGGGCCCCCUUCCAGCUCCCCUGUUUUUCUUUACCUCUAGUCAGCAAUUUGUGUUCCUUCCCUCUCAUCCUUUUGUUGUUCACUUCUAGGAUAGAUCUGGUAUGUAACUGGAAAAUUUUGAACGUGGAGCAAAUGGAGGGAAUGUAUAAAUUUGACUUGUCUCCAAGUUAAUGACAUAUAUGAUGAGGGGGGAGGAGGAGGAGAUGAAAGCAAUAAAUGACAAUGUAUGUGAGAAAUGUCAGUCUCUGUUUCUACACAGAUUCCUUCAGGGAAGGCAUCAGAUCAGUAGUUUUUAAAUGACAUAAACAAUCAAAGGGUUGACUGAGUAAACUGAUGCUCCAUCAAAUGAAUCUGAGUUGCUAAAUAAUGGUUUUGCUUAAGCCUGAUCUAAAGUUCAUUGAGAUUAUGAAGGUCUUUAAAUGGACUUUGCUGGACUUUGUUUCUCUGUUCUUGAUUAUAAGAUUCCAUGACAAGGACUUUAUAUAUUUUUUUGAAAAAUACUCUUCAUGCAUUUAGACACUGUCAAACACAUUAAUAACCAGCCCUAUUUUCCAGCUAAAUUCCAAAAGACACCGAUGCACAUUCAGCACCUCUGAAAAGCAGACAUCUCUUUAGGUGUCAAAAUAUGAAUCCCAGCAUACUUUUGAAAAUACUAGCCAGGAUAAAUACAAUUUUCCAUUUUAUAACUAACGUGAAACCUUUCACCUUUAUGGUACCAUUUAAUGGUGACUAGAAAUCAUUACAGAUGAAAGGCUGUACAGCAAGCUACUAUAUUUGAAACUCUGGAGGUAGUAGACUGGUUCCUAGUGGACAAAUGGCCAUAUCAUUCUUGGAGCUAAUUAGUUCCUUUUUCCCUUUUUAUGCUUUUAUUUCCUUCCUAAUCCUUAGCUAGGAAGCUCUAGGUCAAAUGUGCUCAGAGGGCACUCACCAACUUUCCACUCUCAGAAAGAGCAACCAAAAGCUCGGGGUUGUCAAAGCACUUCAGUGAAACUUUCCUUGCAUGUUACUUAGACUAGUCUGGCUUUGCUAGAUACAUAUUUAUUCUCAUUUAUGGCGUGGAAAUAAGCAUUUUAU